CUGGUACAGUAGAGACAUCUAUAUGUUAUUUCCUGAUUCCUAUACACAAAAAAGGAGAGAGAAAGAGAUGAGAGGAGCAAAGGAGGAACAUGCAAACCUGACACAAUUGCAUCAUCCAUGAAAAACCCAUGUCAGUGCAGCGUUCCCUAUCAACUAAUUCUGGGCAGUUAAAUAUGUAUAAUCCUGCUCCUACUGCACCAGUUUGCAAGUCAAUCCGUGAAGGGAGCUCAGGCAAAGAUUUCAACUGCUUGCAAUGUUGUAACUUUAAACACAACAGUUUGGAAAGCUUCUUGAGGUUGGGCAGUGUAGCAAAGUUGUUAACACUUAAAUCUAGCCAUUGUAAGCAACUCAUAAUUCCAAUAGCAUCAGGGAUUUCUACUAAAUUACAAAAACUUAGAUCAAGUAGACGCAUACAUGGAAAUAUUGGGGAGGAAGGCAUUAAGCAACUAACUGAUUUUUGAUGUUGUCUGGAGUAGGAAGAUGUUGAUUGGAAAUGAAUAGGAGCUCCAUCUAUAUCAAUCUUCUUCAAUUGCUCUGCAUCCCUUAGUUCAUUUAAUAACUCGGUGUUGUACAGUUUUGAACAGCAAGAGAGAUUCAGAUAUUUAAGAGAAUUGAGGCCUAGUAUGCUAUUGGGUAAGCUUAAUCGAUUUUUGCAGUUUUUCAAAUUCAAGAGAAUUCAGUCUAACUUAUUUGAUUUAGCAGAGUAUACAUAUGUUGUUAACCUCAAUUGUAUUUAAUCUCUAUGAAUAAAAAUUAAAUAAAUAAACAUAUGAUACAUGUUAAUCAACAUUAACAUGAUACAGAUUCGCUUCUUAUGAACUUUUCAUGUAUAUGUAUAUAUAUUUUUAAAUUAAUUAUAUAAAUUAUUUUUAUACGGUGUUAUUAUAAUAAUGAUUAAGAUUAAUUUGUUCAAAAUUAUGUAAAAUUAAUAUUUUUUUUGCAAUGUAUAAAGUGAGAACUAGUUUAAAACUAAUUAUGUGUUUAUUAUCAUCAUCAUUUAAUAUAAAAAUUAGUUUCAAUUUUAUGUGUAAAAAUAAUAAUUUUUUAAAAAGAUAUUAUUUAUUAAAAGUUAGACAUUUAAUUUAAUCCUCAAAUUUGGGUUAAAUCCUAUCUUGAUCUUUCAAUUAUUUUUUUUAAAAACUUAUUUUCUCAAAUUCAAAAAUAUAUAUUUUCAGUUACAUAAUAGUAUAUUUGAGGGACAAAAUUAUUUGUUUUCAAAAUCAUUUUUAGUCCCUUCAAACUAAAUAUGAGGACUAAAACUGAUUUUUUUUUCAAAUUUGUGGGACGAAAAUAAUUUUUUUAAAUAUGGGAAUCAAAAUAUUUAAUUUGAUAAAAAUUUUAAAAAAUAAAAUAAAUUAUUUUAUAUUAUAAGGAAAUGAUUAUAACUAAGUAAACUUUAAUUGUUGACCGAAUCAUAUGACAUUAUCUUAUUAACGUGAAGAUUAUUUUCUUAUUGACGUGAAGAUUUUUUUUAGUUCGUUAAUUUAGCUCUUUAAUCAAAAUAAUUUGCGUUGACCGGAAUCAUAUAAUCCAAAUUUGCAACAACUUGAUUAUUCCUUUCUUUCUUUUUCCUUCAUUUUCUUCAAUUUCCCCAAAUUUGCGCUUCCUAGCCAACGGAUUUGAUGGCUCUUUUAUGUCCCCUUUAUAUACCCAGCCAUAUCCGUAUUUCUUCACCUCAGCAUUUGACACUUUCCACUCUAUCAGAAACAAAAUAACAUAAUAGUUUGCCUGUAUAUUAACUACAUUCUAUUAAAAAAAAAUUCAUUCAAAUUUAUAUAUUUUUUAAUUUUUAAUAUCAUGAUAGUUUUUAUAAAUUAUAAAAAAUCUCAAUUAAAUACGGAUGAAGUUUAUUAUAUUCCUUAAAAAAAUAUUUAUCUUGACUAGAUAUCACAAAUUUUUUUUUUUAAAUCUUGAUUGAAUAUUUUUAAAAAAUUUAAAAUUUUUAGAAUUCGAAUUGAAUAAGCCGUGUAGAAAAAAAAAUGAAUAUACCUUUAAUUAAAAAUUGGCAAAUACUUACUAAUUAAUUUAAUGUAAUAAUAAUUACUGGUCCAAAUUGUUUUAUGAUUUAAUUUAAUAGAGAUUGCAUAGAAACUAUCAUUUUAGUCCAUGCAUUGCACAUACUAAAUUUUAAUUUUAUAAAAAUAAAAUUUAAAAUAAAAACAUUUAAAUAUGUAAUUAAUGAAUAUAUUUAUACUGUUAAAAAUGUAUAAUCCUGCUUCUCUUAGUGAACAAUACGAUGAAUCAGUUACGAAGCCAAUCCGCAAAGGGAGCUCAGGGAAAUAUUUCAACUGCUUGCAAUGUUGUAACUUUAAACAGACCAGUUUGGAAAGCUUCUUGAGGUUGGGAAGUGUAGCAAAAUUGUUACCACUUAAAACAACCAUAUUAAAUUGUUCAUUUUGGAUUACUAGGUUAUUUCACAGUGUCAUUUAUGAGUUGUAAUUAUAUUUAAUAAAUUAAUAAAAGAUUCCAAACUUUUAUCUUCAUUAUUUGUCUUAUCUUGUACCUUUAAAAAAAUUUAUUCCUUCUAGUUUUAGUAGUCUAUUGUUACGAAUAGAGAAGAAGGGUUGCAGGAAGUAAGAGCACAGCAGCGCGAGGAGAGGCCCAAAAGGAAAACGAAGGCCCCAACGUACAUGGAGGACUACGUAUGAAGCGUGAGAGCGUGAAGAUUCAUGCAUGGAAGUAGGGAACGAGUAACCACUUCUGUUAGGGUAUCGAGAAUAUUCUAGGUUCAGUUAGAAUGUGAGGGUAGUUAACAAAUUCUGUUAGAUCUCAACUACGGGAAGUAUAAAAGCUUGUAAAUGUUCAUACAUGAAAUAAUAAGCAAUUAAACGCAAUUCCUUUUCUCUCGUCCCUUCCUUCUCUCUGCCCACGGAGGCCCUUGGUCCUCGAAUUCCAAGUCAUAACAUUGGUGCUUUCAUUGAGCCUCAAUGGCGGAAGCUACACGCUCUAGGGUUUUCGCAGACCGAUUGGAAGACGCCAUUGCAAAGUUAUCAGCAUCGCAGCUAGCAAUGAACGCGAAGAUAGAUGAUCUCCUGCAAAGGAUGACACAUCUCAAAGCUAAUCAACAGCUGCCGCAGACGCCACCGUCUUCUUCGGCGGGACAAACACCAACUGUGACUGGUUCCACUCAUCGCCUGAAGCUUGAUGUCCCGAGGUUUGAUGGCUCGGACCCUACGGGUUGGACCUUCAAAAUAACUCAGUUUUUUGAGUACCACAACAUGCCAGAUCAUGAGAGGUUGACGAUUGCAUCGUUCUACAUGGAAGGGGCCGUGUUGGCGUGGUUCCAAUGGAUGCACCGCAACGCUCAGUUAUCGUCGUGGUCAGCAUUCUUACACGCGCUACACACUCAAUUUGCUUCAUCAACUUACAAGGAUCCUACGGGAUUGCUAUGCAAGUUGCAGCAACGAUCAUCGGUGAACGCUUAUUUGACGGAAUUCGAGUCGUUAGCAAACCGCAUAGUCGGAAUACCUGCUCAGUUUGUUUUAAGUUGCUUUAUUUCAAGAUUAACGCCGGCCAUUCGCCGCGAGGUGCAGGUUCUGCAACCAGUAUCCUUGGUUCAAGCAGUAGCAUACGCGAGACUACAGGAAGAAAAAUUGCUAGACGCGCGAAGGUCAUCGUCACAGCGUUUCCCAGCAUCGACGGUAGCAUCACGAUCGCCGUCAAGCACUUCCACACCACCAUUACUACCUACACCGCAGAAAACACUAAGUCCUUCGAUUCCGUUCAAACGCCUCUCACCGGAAGAGCUAGCACGAUGUCGAGAGAAAGGAUUAUGCUCCCAUUGCGAUGAGAAAUUUUCGCGGGGUCACAAGUGUUCAUCAUCUCUAUUCCUAUUAAUAGCAGAUGACGAUGAACCUGUACCUGACGAAGGGAGUAACCCAGAAUUACCACCGGAACCACCAUAAUUGCUCUCUGAAUCGCCCCCGACGCAACUUAGUUUACAUGCAUUGUUUGGACACUUAGCCCCCGAGACUCUACGAAUGAAAGGCACUAUUAAUGACCUCCAUGUUAGCAUCUUAAUUGAUGGAGGAAGUACACAUAAUUUCCUCCAUCAUCAGGUAGUCACAGCUCUAAAGCUCCCUACGCAAGACAUAGUUCCACUGCGAGUCACAGUGGGUAACGGUGACGAAAUUAGAUGCCAACAACGUUGUGGCAAUGUCAUGGUGCAGAUCCAGCGACACUCAUUUACGAUAGACUUCCAUAUCCUUCCACUUUGCGGUGCUGAUGUAGUAUAGGGAGUGCAAUGGUUGAAGACACUAGGCCCAAUACUCACUGACUACACUUCAUUAAACAUGAAGUUCAUCACGGGAGGCAAGCUCAUCGAACUAAAAGGAGAUCGUGAGAGGGACCUCGAACAGGUAACACCUUCGCAGCUUCGUCGUUUACUUCACACAAACCCAACAAGCUCAUUCUUCCACAUUCGCCUGGAAAAUCACACUUCACUUCAACCCACAACACAUAUGAUUUCGGUGAUUGCAUCCUUGCUCACCAAAUAUUCUUCGUUGUUCCAACCUCCAACAACCUUACCACCAUCAUGAUCCACAGAUCACUCCAUAACCCUACUUCCAAAUACUGCUCCCGUCAAUGUUAAACCCUACAGAUACCCCUAUUUUCAUAAACAAGAAAUAGAGGGCCAGGUAAACGCCAUGCUAGAAAAAGGGUUCAUCCAACCAAGCUCAAGUCCCUUUUCAUCCCCAGUGCUACUGGUAAAGAAAAAAGGAUGGAGGGUGGCGCUUUUGUGUGGAUUAUAGAGCACUGAACACGGUUACGGUGAGGGACCGUUUUCCAAUUCCCACGGUGGACGAGCUAUUGGACGAGCUCGGAGGAGCGCGGUGGUUUUCGAAACUUGAUUUGAUGCAAGGCUAUCAUCAAAUCCUGAUGCGUGAGGCAGAUAUUAGCAAAAUAGCAUUUCGGACGCAUCAAGGGCAUUACGAGUUUCGAGUAAUGCCCUUUGAUCUUUGUAAUGCACCUUCUUCUUUCCAAUCCACAAUGAACCAACUGUUUCGGCUGUGCCUGCGAAAGUAUAUCAUCAUUUUUUUCGAUGAUAUAUUGAUCUAUAGCAAAACUAUCUCAGAUCAUCUCUUUCACUUGGAGAGCGCCUUUCGAAUUCUAGUGACAGGUCAGUUCUCAUUAAAACUCUCCAAAUGCAUGUUUGCUCAAGAAAAGUUGGAAUAUCUGGGUCACGUGGUAGCGGGAGAUGGAGUUCGACCGGUGCCAGAGAAGAUUCAGACCAUUCAGGGAUGGCCAACUCCGAGAUCACCAAGAGCACUACGAGGGUUCUUGGGUCUCGCCGGAUUCUAUAGACGGUUUAUAAAGGGGUACUCAACCCUUGCGGCACCCCUUACAAAGUUACUAUGCCAUACGCAGUUCCAGUGGUCCACAGCAGCUACUGAAGCAUUCCAGAAGCUUAAGGAGGCGAUCAUGGCAGCUCCCGUUUUGGCAUUACCUAACUUUAAAAUACCAUUUAUUGUCGAGACCGACGCGUCGGGGUCAGGUAUGGGAGCAGUGCUUACACAAGAAGGCCAUCCUAUCUCCUUCUUCAGUAAGCAAUUCUGCCCGAGGUUGAUGAACGCGUCAACCUAUGUUCGUGAGCUCGCCGCCAUAACCGCAGCCGUUAAAAAGUGGAGACAGUACUUGUUGGGUCACAAGUUCAUCAUCGUAACCGAUCACCGGAGCCUAAGGGAGCUUAUGAACCAAACGGUGCAGACGCCGGAGCAACACCGUUACCUGGCACGAUUAUUAGGUUACGACUUCACGAUUCAAUAUCGAGCAGGACGAGCCAACAUCGUGGCAGAUGCUUUGUCAAGAAUCCAUGAGGAGUCACCUGCAUCACUCUCUUUAAUCUCGAUGCCUCAAUUCGAUUUUCUCGAGGACCUGCGUAAAGAAAUGGCAUCUCACCCAGCUUUCAUGGAGUUAUAUCGUAAGAUUAAAGAUGACCCCGAAGCACACCCAGAGUACACGUUAACUAAUGAUUUCAUCUUACACAGAGGUCGAAUUUGGAUUCCCUCGAAUUCCUCCUUCACUAAGUUGUUACUAGAAGAAUUCCACCAAUCUCCGACAGGUGGUCACAUGGGGAUUCAAAAAACACUUCAUCGCUUACAAGAAAACUUUACAUGGGAUUCCAUUAGAGAUGAUACUCGUGCCUUCAUAGCAGGAUGCUUAACGUGCCAGUGUACCAAAUACGAUAACAGAAAACCAGUUGGGUUGUUGAGUCCUCUACCGAUACCGGUACAGCCAUGGGAAGAUUUAUCCAUGGACUUUAUCGUGGGAUUACCUUCUUACAAAGGCAACACGUGUAUCUUCGUCGUCGUCGACAGGUUUUCAAAGGGGUUGCGCCUAGGGAUGUUACCCACUCAGCACAAUGCAAGGACCGUGGCAAGCUUGUUCAUGGAUAUCGUAGGACGUUUGCAUGGGAUGCCAUGAAGCAUUGUAUCGGAUCGUGAUCCUUUAUUCGUGAGUGGAUUUUGGAGGGAGCUCUUCUCUCUCAGUGGGACAAAGCUUUGUCUCUGCUCAACUUAUCACCCACAAUCAGAUGGGCAAACCGAGGUCGCAAACCGCAUCAUCGAACAAUACUUGAGAGCAUUUGUUCAUCAGAACCCCUCUCGGUGGGGUCGUUAUUUGCUGUGGGCCGAAUGGUCCUAUAAUACGUCCUGCCACUCAGCUACCGGCGUCACGCCGUUUGAAGUGACCUUCGGCAGGAAGCCUCCUAAUUUCCCUCAUUAUGUCACAGGAACUGCCAAGGUUGACGCGGUUGACGAUAUGCUCAGUCAAAGAGAGACAGUGUUUGCAUUGCUUCGUCGGAAGUUAACUAAAGCUCAAGCACGCAUGAAGGAAGUGGCAGAUAAACAUCGCCGGGAACUGGAAUUUGAAAUCGGUGAUUGGGUGCUGGUAAAGUUGCGGCCUCGACGUCAGACUUCGGUCUCCGAUACCACUUACUCGAAGCUCACCAAGAGGUAUUAUGGGCCUUUUCGAAUCACGGCUCGAAUGGGCAAGGUAGCUUACCAGUUGCAGCUCCUCAUUCAAUCGCGCAUGCAUAAUGUUUUUCACAUCUCGCUCCUCAAACCCUAUGUGGCUACGGACCCACCACAUGAUUCUACUGAUCUUCCUCCAGCAGCUGUAGAUAACGACCCAGUCGUUACUCCGUUGGCCAUCAUCGCGUCCAAACUAAUUCCGUUGGAAAAGGGACCUACGCGCAUGGUCUUAUUCCAAUGGAAGGAUUUACCACUCAAGGAAGCUUCGUGGGAGGAAUGGUCCAGCUUCAAGGCCUUACACCACCUUGAGGACAAGGUGUUAUUUGAAGGAGAGGGGAGUGUUACGAAUAGAGAAGAGGGGUUGCAGGAAGUAAGAGCACAGCAGCACGAGGAGAGGCCCAAAAGGAAAACGAAGGCCCCAAUGUACAUGGAGGACUACGUAUGAAGCGUGAGAGCGUGAAGAUUCAUGCAUGGAAGUAGGGAACGAGUAACCACUUCUAUUAGGGUUUCGGGAAUAUUCUAGGUUCAGUUAGAAUGUGAGGGUAGUUAACAAAUUCUGUUAGAUCUCAACUACGGGAAGUAUAAAAGCUUGUAAAUGUUCAUAUGAAAUAAUAAGCAAUUAAACGUAAUUCCUUUUCUCUCCUCCCUUCCUUCUCUCUACCCACGGAGGCCCUUGGUCCUCAAAGUCCAAGUCAUAACAUCUAUAUUCUAAUGUAAUGUCGUUUUGUUUAAGUAUUUGGAUUUCUUGUUUAAGAUUCUUAAUUUCAUUUUGUAAAUCCUUUAUAGUAAUUUUUUCACUUUGAAUUUUAAACCUAAUGUAUAUUUCUUUCAUAUUUAUGGGUUGAAUUAUUUCUUUUCAGCUUUCCUCAUCCUUUUGAAUUAAAUCAUUUAAUUGGUGCAAAAACUCAAUUUUUAAUGAUGACUCUUCCAUCUUAUCUACUAUAUAAAUUAGUGUAGAUGUUUGAUUUUUAGUUAACAUGUUGACAGAUUUACAAUUUGUACAGUUACAGUUACAGAAUAAGAUAUAAACAGUAACCUUCUUCGUGACUGUCUUGUGGUUACUUUGUCAUCCUUUGCUAUACUAUCCAACUCCAGCAAUGACUUAAGAAUUAUUAUUUAUUUAUAAACCAAAAAAGAAAGGUUGUUGUACUUAGUAAAUUUUAGUCCACGUACCUUCCUAAACUCAAAUCAAAACUGUAUUGGGCCUAGUCAAGGAAAAAUAUAAAAAAUAAAAAAGCUUGCAUGUAGAUAAAGCCUCUUCAGCAGCAGCGACCCAAUUUCCAAUCAUUGUAAUUUAUAAGGCUUCAAUUUCCCUCCAUUUCAUAAUUUCCAAUUAAACAAUUUAUUUCAUUUAGCUAAGAAUUCUAACCAGAGAGAGAGAAAGAGGAUCAACAAUGGCUGUCAAAGUUUACAUUGUGUAUGCAUUUAUUAAUCACUCAUUGCUCUUUCUUUUUUAGAAAAUAUUUUAUUGCUAUACUCUGUUAUCCUUCUCCAAUAUUUCUCUAAUUUUCUUUCCCCCAAUUUGUCUUUAGUGUUAUUUCCUGCUAUAAUAAAAAUGAUUUUUUAUUCACUGGGUUUCUUUUACUCUUUCAACGGGUUCUUAAAUUUGAAGUCUUUCAAAUUUUAAAAUUCUUUCCACCUCCUUGGAUUUCAUGCAUUUUUUUUUAACUCUGUUACUUUCAUUCUUGUUUUAGAUGCAUUCACUUCUUGGAUAAUUUUUUACAUCUCCCGGUCACAGCACAAUUCGAAUUUAAAUUUCUUUUGCUUCAUUUUCAUUUUAUUCGUACUUAGUACUAUGAUCAUCCACUGGUAAAUUGUGAUCUCCAAUUCCUAUUUCAUCUGUAUUGUCCCCAAGAAAACAACAUAUUUCUUUCAGCUUUAUUUAAAGAACGAAAAUUUAGCAUUGCAUUGACAGGUACCGCUCAAUGCUUGGGCACGUGGAAAGACUAGCUCAAGAAAUACAAGGGGUUGAGUCCCAACUAUGGCAGGCAUGUUAAUUUCAUUAUUAAUGCAUCAGUGUUGCUAAUCCUUAUAUAUAUAUGCAUUAAUUCCAUUUUUAUCACUUUCAAGUCCAAUAACCCCUGUGCUUUAUUCUGUGUGAUCUCUUUGACUAAGUUUAUUUCCCAAAUUUACUUAGCAUAUGAGCAGGUACCCAAGACACUAAUCAUCACCAGAAAUGAGCUCCAUGAUGUACUAAUCACAGGUUAAUCAUAAAUUCAAUUGGUUGAAACAAUCAAAACAUCAUCCUCAUGUUUAUCGAUUCAGUUUUCAAAACAUUUCAGCAGGGAGAAUGAUGGGUGAUGUCAUUUUUUUCUUCUUUGUUUUUUCCUAAAGAGUACAAAUUCUUUAAUCUAUUGAAGCCCUCACCUUGUUAGAGGACAUGAAAAUCUGAAAGAGAUGGAUUCAAUUUGUGUUAAGUGCACAGGACAUGAAUGAGUAAUUUGACUUGAUCAAAACAAGAUUAAUUGGUACAUUAUACUAAUGUGCACUAAACAAGUAAAAAGUGUUUGAAGACCAUAUGCAUCAAAAUAUUUUUUCUCACUUCCUUUCUGCUUAUGAAGAAAUCUUGUUCCUUAGUUUCAUUUUGAGUAAUUUGACUUGAAGUACUACAAUAUUGCAUGUCCAAAACCAUACAAAGUCUUAUUCAAUGAUGACCUUUUAUUUAUAGAUAACAAAAUAAAUCACUAACACACUUGUUUUAUUUGAUUGAUUACAUUAGUAUUAUUUUGUUUAUAUUAUUAAUUAAGAGUUAUUAAUUAUUUUCAUAUUAUAAAAAUUUAUUAACUAAAAAAUAUUUAAUAUAUAAAUCUUUUUAAUUUUAUUUUAUAUCAUUUUAUAUGUUUUUUAUUUUGAAUAGUUUACAUGUUUUUGUUUCUAUUUUACUAAUUUAUUAUUAAAUUUCAUAAAUUAAUAGAUAAAUUAUUUCCAUAUUUGUUUUUUAAACUGAUUUUAAUGUACAUACUAUUUUUAUUCUAAUUAUUUAUGUAAAAUUAAAAAAACUUAUAUAUAAAAAAAUUAAUUUAUAAAUUUUGUUAAUUUGAAAAAAAAACUUGAGUAAUGAUACAUAAAAAAUAAUUUUAAUAUACUUAACUAAAGAAAACAAUUGUAUUAUUGUCUUUCUAUGAAUAAUUUUUUGUUAAUAAUUAGAGUAAAAAUAAUUUAUAUAUUAAAAUCAAUUUACAAAAAUAAUUAUGUACAAAUUUGCAUAUUGAUUUAUGAAAUUUAAUUAUGAUUGGUAGCAUAAAAAAAUUUAAAUUAUUAAAAAAAACAUAUAAAAUUCUAUAAAAUAAAAAUUAAAAUAUUUAUAUUAAAUACUUUUUAAUUUAUAAAUUUUGGUAAUUUUUUUAAAAAAUUAAUAACUCUUUUUUAGUGAUAGAUAGAAAAUAAUAUUAUUUUUUUAUGAGUAAAGUGAUGAGUUCAAUUUCUAUUUAAAAAAAUUUUAUUUUUUACUUUAUUUAUCUUUUUCAUAUAAGUGUCAUCAACAACUUACUUAAGUUCAACGUCAUCUUUAAUAUGUUACAUCAAAGUAUAUAUUUUACUUUUGCUUAUGAAACUAAAAUUAUAAUUUAGCCUAUAAGAAAAGAUACUCCUAUUUUUUAUUUUAAUUAUUGGAAUUUUGAAAAAAAAUUAUUUAUUUAUUAUCUGCAAAGUUAAGUAUUACAUUAAUUACUUUUUUAUCUAUUAUAUUUUUACUUAUCUGUUAUCUUUUAAUUUUUAAUUAAUUUAAUCAUACAUUUAUUUGUGAAGUGGAAAGAAAAAGAGGUAAAAUAAAAAACUUCACAAGUGUCUUAUUAGAUUCAAGAAACUUUAUUGUAUUUUUUGAUUAAAAUAUAAAAACCUUAAAAAAAACCUAUGAAAAGGAGUGGAGAGAAUAUAAAAAUAACUAUCAUCAAUAAUAACACUACAUUAGUGGUAAUUGAUAUUAAAAUUUUAAAAAAAAAUUAUAAAUAAUUUUGUGUAAUAAUAUUACAGUCACGAGUAAGGAAUAAUAGAAAUUAAAAUAAUAUUACAAAAUUUAUUUAAAAUAUCAUCAUAAACAAGUUGAUUAAUAAAUAAUAUCGCAAAUCAUAUAUAUAAACUAAUAUUAUAUAUAAUCUUCAAUCAAGUGUAAAUUGAAUAAAAGUAACAGGAAUAGUGAAUACAAAUAAUACUAAUUUAACAUAAAAAUAAACAAACAAUACUACUAAAGUAAUACUGUAGUCUUAUGAAAAAAUAUUAAUAUAAUAUUAAGAUAAUACUUUAAUGUAAAAUGUAGGAAAAUGAUAUUCGUAUCAAAUGAAGUCAUGCUAUAUUUUAAUACUUUAAUUUAUAAACUUAUCCAAAAGAAUUACAUUAAAAAUUUUAAACUCACGAAAAUUAGAUGGGGCUUGAUUAGUAUAUGAUUAUUGAUUAUAAGAAAUUCCGCCGAGGCAAAUACUAUUAAACACAUAAUUCUUCAUAAUUGUAUUUUGAUUCUCUUUUUGAAGACAAUGUGGGAUUAAAGAUGGAAAAAUAAAAAUGUUUAUAGACAUUUGGUGUGAGAUUGAAUUUUAGCACCUCCAAGUUGGCAAUGAAAAGUCAAGAUAGUAGUACAAUUUUUGUCACAUGUGAUUGUCCCAUUUCUCCUCUACUUGUUAUUAAAGAUAUAAACAACUUUCAGCAAAAUAUUAUCUAAUUUUACCAAAUUUUAAUCACAGUUUAAUUAUAAAAUUAACUGAUUGAGCAAAUAAACCAAUAUCUUGAAAUCUUGUCGGUUCAAUUUUUAUUUAGUCUUCAAAACAUUGCAUAAGGAAGAGUAUUGAGUAUGCAUGUUAUUUUUUCUAGAAAUAUAUUUUAAAGUGACUAAUUAUAAAAAUAAAUAAAUUUAUGCAUAGAUAGUAAUAUUAAAUUAGUGUAAAGUUCUACAUUUAUUUUAUUUAAUAAUUUUUCCUUUAUAUUAAUUCAACAUGUAAAAUUAAAUAUUACAAAUAAUUUAAUUUUUCAUUAAUGUGAGAAGUUAUUGAUUUUAUUAAAAUAUACCAAUGAUUAUUAAUGAGUGUUACUUUUAAUUAACAUGGUGAUAGUAGAAUGAUCUCUUUCAUCCCCAUUACUAAUUUUGUUGAAGUGACAAAAGUUAAUGAAAAGUUUAAUUUAUACUCUUUUCUCCUCCAAAUCACUAAUUUUAUUGACAUGGCAGUUACUUGAUAUUAAGAAGAUCAGGUUUUAUAUAUUAUAAAUAAAUCCAACUUGUUCUAAUCAUUUGCCGAAGUAAGGACCUCGAACACUCUUCUGUGUAUAAUUAGAAAAGAGUUAUUAAUUUUUUUAAAAUUAUCAAAAUUUAACAUAUAAAUCUCUUUAAUUUUAUUUUAUAUCCCUUUAUAUGUUUUCAUUUUGAAUAGUUUAUAAAUUUUAUUUAUAUUUUACUAAUUUAUAAUUAAAUUUCAUAAACUAAUAUCUAAAUCUUUUAAAUAUUUUUUAAAAUUGAUUUUAAUGUACAGAUUAUUUUUACUCUAACUAUUUAUGUAAAAAUAAAAAAAUUUAUAUAUUAAAUAAUUUUUAUUUUACAAUUUUUUAUAAUUUGAAAAUUAUUAAUUCUUGACUAAUGAUACAGAAAAUAAUGUUAAUAUAAUUAGUUAAACCAAACAAGUGUUUUAUUACCUUUUCUAUGAAUAAUUUUACAUAAAUAAUUUGAGUAAAAAUAAUUUAUAUAUUAAAAUAAAUUUACAAAAAAAUUAUCUACAAAUUUUCAUAUUAAUUUAUGAAAUUUAAUUAUAUAUUGAUAACAUAAAAAUAUAAAUGUAAACUAUUCAAAAUAAAAAGAUAUAAAAUGAUAUAAAAUAAAAAUUAAAAAGAUUUAUAUAUUAAAAAAAUUAAUUUAAAAUUUUUGAUAAUUUGAAAUAAAAAAAAAUCCUGUCUAAUGAUAGAUGAAAAAUAAUAUUAAUAUAUUUAAAUAAACAAAGCAAAUGACUUAGUGAUUUAUUAUUUUAUUUAUGAGUAAAAAAUUACUAGCUAGUUCAAUUUAUAUUUAAACAUUUUUUUAAAUUUUGACUUCAUUUAAUUUAUUUUAAAAUAAGAUCCAGGUCAACAUCAAGACGUCACAUUAAAGUCAAUAUUUAACUUUGAAUAAUCAACAUACAAAAAAGAAUAAAAUUAUAAUUUAACCUAUUAUAAAAUGUAUUCCUUCUGUUUUUUAUACAAAAAAGAAUAAAAUUACAAAACUUGUGUCCAUCAAUAGUUUUUGUGAGAUUAUCUUUUCAAUCAUCACACCACUCGUGAGCUUGAUAAGUGUCGCUUGCUAGCUAUCAUUUAUUUCCAAUAAUUCUUGCUUGAUGUCCAAGGCCAGGUUAUUGGCCCAAAAAUAGUAAAAUAUUCUUUCAAAAAAAAAAAGUGAAAUCUUCACGGAUAAAGAAGAGAGUGAAAUCUUGCUUGAAAAAAUCUUAUUUCAUAAGACUAUUUUAGUAAUGAGAAGGUUUGAUUAUGUUUUCAUUCUCUUAAUUUGAGUUAAUAUGAUUUUAAUCCUUUGUAAACUUUGUUAAGCUAAUUCAAUCUUCAUAACUUUAUCAAGAAAGUUUAGUUCAAUUGCUUAAGUAUAGUGUGUGAGUUGUUGCAAAGCCACUUAUACUUGUCUUUGAUUCUUACAAAUAUAAAAAUCUUUAUAACUUUAAAAUUAAAGAAAAUAUAAUUUGUCAUAAUUUUUUUACAAACCACAUAUAUUUUUCAUUAAAAAUAAUCUUGUUCAAAUAUAUAACUUUAUUAUGAACAAAAAAAAUCUCUUUCUGAAUAUUUAAUGUAAUUGCCUACUUAAAACUCAAAUUCAAGAGUCAAGACCACUAAUUAAACUAAAAUAACCCAAAUCCAAUUAAUUCACGUAUUUAGAGGUAAUUCAUCUAUUAAUUUUUCAUUCUUUUGUAACAUUUUGGAAUUGAAAAAUUAUUUGAUAAUUUGACGCUACAUAUACCACAUAAGAUUAAAUAAUAUAUAUGCGUAAUGUCAUGAUUUUAUUACUUGUGCCAGUAAGUGUUUUAUUUUAAUUUCAAGAUAAAAUUUAAAUGUUAUUUUAUGUUAAUUGAGAUGUUAGUUAAUUUAAUUUGUAUAACUUUGGUGUUUUAUGAGUGUUAGUGGGCUUAAACAAUUCUCGGUCAUAAAUUUGGUCACAAAAACAUGUAAAGGAGGGGUGGGAAUAGAAAAAAGAGGUAGUUAGAUUGUAAAAGGGAUCAACCACAUUUCUCAAAACCCCUUCAAACAUUGAAAGAGCUCUUAUUUCUAUUCAUUUCUCUUGGGCUUUUACACUUGAUGUUUUAUUUUAAGCUUCAACAGAUUGUGUAGUUAAUACUAAUAGAUAUAAGGUUCAAUUAAGCUUUCAAGGAAUAGCAUUCUGAAUCUAGAUCCCCUGUGAAUGAUUAGAAAAGAGUUAUUAAUUUUUUUCAAAUUAUCAAAAUUUAAUAUAUAAAUCUCUUUAAUUUUAUUUUAUAUCAUUUUAUAUGUUUUUUUUAAUAGUUUACAAAUUUUAUUUAUAUUUUACCAAUUUAUAAUUAAAUUUCAUAAACUAAUAUCUAAAUAUUUUACAUAAUUUUUUUUGUAAAUUGAUUUUAAUGUACAGAUUAUUUUUACUCUAAUUAUUUAUGUAAAACUCAAAAGAUUUAUAUAUUACAUUUUUUUAUUUUUAGUUGAAAAAAUUGAUAAAUUAAAAAUAAUAACUCUUGACUAGUGAUAAACAGAAAAUAAUGUUAAUAUAAUUAAUUAAAUCAAAAAAAUGUUUUAUUACCUUUUUUAUGAAUAAUUUUAUGUAAAUAAUUAGAGUAAAAAUAAUUUAUAUAUUAAAAUAAAUUUUAAAAAAUUAUGUACAAAUUUUCAUAUUAAUUUAUGAAAUUUAAUUAUAUAUUGGUAACAUAAAAAUAAAAAUAUGUAAAUUAUUCAAAAUAAAAAGAUAUAAAAUAAAAAAAAAUAUUUAUAUAUUAAAAAAAUUAAUUUAAAAUUUUUUAUAAUUUGAAAUAAAAUAUCUUGUCUAAUGAUAGAUGAAAAAUAAUAUUAAUAUAUUUCAAUAAACAAAGCAAAUGUCUUAGUCAUUUAUUGUUUUUUUAUGAAUAAAAAGUUACUAGUUCAAUUUCUAUUUAAACACUUUUUUUAUUUUUCACUUCAUUUAAUUUAUUUUAAUAUAAGCUCCACGACAGCAUCAAGAUGUCACAUUAAAGUUAAUAUUUAACUUUGAAUAAUCAGCAUACAAAAAGAAGUAAAAUUACAAUUUGACCUAUUAUAAAAUGUACUCCUUUUUAUUUUUUAUUUUAAUUGUUGGAUUUAUUAAAAUAAAAAUAUUUUUAUUUAUUCAUCAUCUACAAAGUUAAAGAUUACAUCAAUUGCUCUUUUGUUAACUAUAUUUUACUUAUUUUUUUAAUUUUUAAUGACUUUAUCCAUGCAUUUAUUUGUGAAUUGAAAAAAAAAAGAUAAAAUAAGAAACUUCACAACUAUUUUAUCAUAUUCAAAAAACUUUAUUGUAUUUUUUUAUUAAAACAUAAAAACCUUAAAAAUAACACGAAAAGGAAUGAAGAGAAUAUAAAUAUAACUAUCAUCAAUAAUAACACUACAUUAGUAGUAAUUGAUAUUAAAAAUUUAAAUAAAUUAUAAAUGAUUUUAUGUGUAUUACUAUUAAAGCCACAAGUAACAAAUAAUAGAAAUUAAGAUAAUAUUAUAAAAUUUAUUUAAAAUAUCAUUAAAAAUAAGUUGAUUAAUAAAUACAAUAUCAAAAAUCAUAUAUAUAUAUAAACUAAUAUUAUAUAUAAUCUUUAAUCAAAUAUGAAUUGAAUAAAAAUAACAAUAAUAAUAAAUACAAAUAAUACUAAUUUAACAUAAAAACGAACAAAUAAUAUUACUAAAGUAAUACUAUAAAGAGAAAACGAGAAAUUGCAUCACCCUCUGUUAAACAAUAAAGAGAAAACAAGUAAAACAAUAUUACUAACGUAAUACUAAUAUAACUAAAGUAAUACUAUAAAGAGAAAAUAAUAUUACAAAUAAUUUGUACUUUUUUUUAGCUGUCAUGCACUAGCAAGUAAAAAAGACUGAAAACGAGAAAUUGCAUCAGCCUCCGUUAAACAUUACUCAAAACCAAAAAAGGAAAGAAAAAAAAACAAUAUUCUUAACCAACAAACAAGCUUAUUCAAAAAGCUGAUUUUACGGCACCACCAAGCUUAUUAAAAAUUUGCAUGAGUUCCCUUGAUGGCACUUGUGAAUUGUUGGGAUGAGUGAAGGACGACUCAAAUGAAUAAAAUGAGAGAAGAAAUGAUGAUUCUACACCCUAACAUUCAUCUUUUCUCCCUUCUGCUCACUUUUUCUUCAAUUUCCCCAAAUUUGCGCUUCCUUUGUUCUAGAUCCCCUUUAUAUACCCAGCGAUAUCCGUAUUUCUUCACCUCAGCAUAUGACUCUUUGAACCCUAUCCCUUCAUCACAUUUCAAAAGCAAUCUGCCAAGAUAUUUGUCAUCGAGAUGGAAAUCUGCAAUGAAGUCAUGUCGAUCAACAUAGAAUAGGCACAUGUGAUCUGAUUUGUCUAAAACAAGUUCUAGAUCUACAUCUUCAUAAAAAUCCACUGGAAUAUCACCAAAAACAGGGUAGUUCCAUUCUGUCUCUGAAAAACUCAUUGCAGAGAGUGUUUCAUGAGGUACGACGAAUAUUGCACAAAACGCAACGCCAAUCCAAUUAUGGUCAUGCAUAACAGGAGAUGCGUCUAAGUUUACACAAUUUCCCUCAUGCUCAUUAUUGAACCACCUUGGUAUUUCACUUCCUGGACUAACACUUUCAUCAAUGUAUGAAGUUAUUUCCUGAUACAGCAGAGACAUCUAUAUGUUAUUUCCUGAUUCCUAUACACAAAAUAGGAGAGAGAAAGAGAUGGGAGGAGCAAAGGAGGAACAUGCAAACCUUAGGCGAACAAAAUUGCAUCAUCCAUGAAAAAGCCAUGUCAGUGCAGUGUUCCCUAUCAACUAAUUCUGGGCAGUUAAAAAUGUAUAAUCCUGUUCGUUGGCGCCGAAGAAUUGGUGAAGGGAGCUCAGGCAAAGAUUUCAACUGCUUGCAAUGUUGUAACUUUAAACAGACCAGUUUGGAAAGCUUCUUGAGGUUGGGCAGUGUAGCAAAAUUGUUACCACUUAAAUCUAGCCUUUCUAAGCAACUCAUAAUUCCAAUGGCAUCAGGGAUUUCAACUAAAUUACAGAAACUUAGAUCAAGUUCACGCAUCCAUGGAAAUAUUGGGGAGGAAGGCAUUGAGCAACUAACUGAUUUUUGAUGUUGUCUGGAGUAGGAAGAUGUUGAUUGGAAAUGAAUAGGAGCUCCAUCUAUAUCAAUCUUCUUCAAUUGCUCUGCAUCCCUUAGUUCAUAUAAUAACUCGGUGUUGUACAGUUUUGAACAGCCAGAGAGAUACAGCCAUACAAGAGAAUUGAGGCCUAGUAUGCUAUUGGGUAAGCUUACUAGAUUUUUGCAGUUGUUCAAAUUCAAUCUUAUGAGCUUUUUUAGAAGACCGAUGGAUGGAUCAAUGCGUCUGAGUUUUUGACAUCCUUCGAGAUCUAAAUUUUCAAGAAUUAGGUCAUCUCCAAACUGUGGCAACUUGAUAAGACUUUUGCAAUUUCUCAAAUUCAGAUAAAAAAGCUUUCGUGAAAGAACAACGGACAGACCGAUCUCUUCGAGUUGUAUACAUCCUUCGAGAUUAAAACUCUCAAGAUAUAGGGCAUCUCCAAUAUAUGGCAUUUUUAUUAGAUUUUUGGAGCCAGAGAGAUCCAAACGCCUCAAAUUGGGUAGAGGCUACAAUGCAAGGCCAAUAGUAGGAAACAAAAUUAAUAAUGACAUUCAGCCUUUCUUUUGUUUCUUUAAUUAAAU
rnacentral:lncRNA from 1 species